ACAAACUUGGUCAUUUAGAGGAAGUAAAAGUCGUAACAAGGUUUCCGUAGGUGAACCUGCGGAAGGAUCAUUAGCGAGAGUGGGCUUCGGCCCCGUCCCAAACACACACACAUCCGUGAACCCUCGGUCCCUCCUGGUCGUUCGAACCCGCCGGAGACGGCGACAGUAGUCCGCCCGGGGGUUCCGAACCCCACAAACACCUCAGAGAAGCCAUGGAAUUUUAGUAAUCUAUUACAACUUUCAACAACGGAUCUCUAGGCUCUCGCAUCGAUGAAGAACGCAGC
rnacentral:misc_RNA from 1 species